CUGGGCUCUUGGUUUCAUUCGUGCUGAAAGCCAGGAAAGGGUUUUCUGCUCAGAUUCACAGAGUGGCAUCACAAAACACUGUGCUCGUGUAACUGAGCGAGUGGUCUCACCCAGAUGAACCAGAUGCUCUUCAGUGUCUGAGUCCUCUAAUGAUCUCACAAUGAUACUAUGUCACUGAGACAACUUUCUCUGACUUCAUUAUUUACAUGCCAGCACCACAGAAUUCUGGAAAAAAUAAGGAGAAGGGGUUCUUCAGGACAGAGGU